rnacentral:rRNA from 1 species
AGUGAACGCUGGCGGCAGGCCUAACACAUGCAAGUCGAGCGGCAGCGCGGGGGCAACCCUGGCGGCGAGCGGCGGACGGGUGAGGAAUACAUCGGAAUCUACCCAGUCGUGGGGGAUAACGUAGGGAAACUUACGCUAAUACCGCAUACGACCUGAGGGUGAAAGCAGGGGACCGCAAGGCCUUGCGCGAUUGGAUGAGCCGAUGUCCGAUUAGCUAGUUGGUGAGGUAAAGGCUCACCAAGGCGACGAUCGGUAGCUGGUCUGAGAGGAUGAUCAGCCACACUGGAACUGAGACACGGUCCAGACUCCUACGGGAGGCAGCAGUGGGGAAUAUUGGACAAUGGGCGCAAGCCUGAUCCAGCCAUGCCGCGUGUGUGAAGAAGGCCUUCGGGUUGUAAAGCACUUUUGUCCGGAAAGAAAUCCUGUCGGUUAAUACCUGGCGGGGAUGACGGUACCGGAAGAAUAAGCACCGGCUAACUUCGUGCCAGCAGCCGCGGUAAUACGAAGGGUGCAAGCGUUACUCGGAAUUACUGGGCGUAAAGCGUGCGUAGGCGGUUCGUUAAGUCAGAUGUGAAAGCCCCGGGCUCAACCUGGGAAUUGCAUUUGAUACUGGCGGGCUAGAGUACGGUAGAGGGUGGUGGAAUUCCCGGUGUAGCAGUGAAAUGCGUAGAGAUCGGGAGGAACAUCUGUGGCGAAGGCGGCCACCUGGACCAGUACUGACGCUGAGGCACGAAAAGCGUGGGGGAGCAAACAGGAUUAGAUACCCUGGUAG